rnacentral:rRNA from 1 species
UACGUAGGUGGCAAGCGUUAUCCGGAAUUACUGGGCGUAAAGCGCACGCAGGCGGUCUUUUAAGUUUGACGUGAAAGCUCCCGGCUUAACUGGGAGAGGUCGUUGAAUACUGGAAGACUUGAGGCAAUGAGAGGGGUGUAGAAUUCCCGGUGUAGUGGUGGAAUGCGUAGAUAUCGGGGGGAAUACCAGUGGCGAAAGCGGCACCCUAGCGUUAGCCUGACGCUCAUGUGCGAAAGCGUGGGGAGCGAAC